rnacentral:rRNA from 1 species
CCCUUAGAUGUCCGGGGCCGCACGCGCGCUACACUGAAGGAAUCAGCGUGGCUUUCUCCCUGACCCGAAAGGGUUGGGAAACCCGUUGAAUCUCCUUCGUGAUAGGGAUUGGGGCUUGAAAUUGUUCCCCAUGAACGAGGAAUUCCCAGAAAGCGCGAGUCAUAAGCUCGCGUUGAUUACGUCCCUGCCCUUUGUACACACCGCCCGUCGCUACUACCGAUUGAACGGUUUAGUGAGGGCCUCGGAUUGGUCUCGGCCCGCUCUUUACCGGGCGGCGCCGUUGGUCGAGAAGACGCUCGAACUUGAUCGUUUAGAGGAAGUAAAAGUCGUAACA